UCCCAAAUCCAAAUGGUCCCACUCGCAGC
rnacentral:sRNA from 1 species